CUUCCCCUGGCCUCUACAUAAGUAAAUGCAUCAGGCAUGAUCUUGCACAGUAUCGAUCCUGUGUUAGGGUGAGCAGCACUCCCUCACCUCUGAGCUACCUGUGCCAUGCAACAGGAAGGUUGGAUAAUUGAUCACAGCCUGAAGAUCAAGCUGUGGUGGGAUGGAAAACUUGGCAGAGGGCAAGGAUCAUGUGUGAGAACAGCUUGUUCCAAUAGCUGCCCUUGAUUACAGGGCACACAGGUGUAGCACAGGUUUGCUUAAAUAUAUCCUGGUGUGCAACCAAGCAGGAGCUUUUGGUGGCUGGUUCUUCAGGCUGGUGGGUACAGAGUACCCCAGAAAGAGUUGACAUCGUGCAAGGAAGGACUUGAUGCCUUCAAAAUGCAGACUGUAAUGAAAACACUUCCUUAGGCAAGAAAAAAGCUUCAAAGAUGAUGUGACAGCUUGGAGCAAAACAAGUGGGGAUCCCAAGCCUGCAGUCUUGUGUACAGCCCCUCUCCAGAAAUGCUGGGAAGUGUUGCUGAAGCAGAACAGUUGCUGUAGCGGAUCAACGUGCUCUGAGAAUUGCCCUCAGGCUGGGAAUAUUCUGAUGGCUCAAUUCAUCAGCUGCCACCUCUGCCAGCACCAUCAGUCAAGCAACUGGAGCUGGAGCCAGCUGCAGCAGCGCUGUUCUGAGCUGCACCUUCUGGAGUCCUUUGUUUUUAACACAAACAUUCUGGUUUCUUCUGGUCCAGUCUGUCACCAAGAGACACCAUGAGGCCUGCUUAAUGCUGCAGUGAUCUCUGUAUUUCAGAACCUGCGUGUGGUUUAGUGCUCUCAGUCCAUCUCUCUGAAAAUAUUUAGCUACUGUUGAAGGGCUUGAUUAUGAAGAGCUCAUUGCAUGGCAGACAGCAGUUCCUAGAACAGAGCAGAGUAUAAUCACAGCUGAAGCACAGCUGUCAAAAUAAAAUGAACAUCAAGUGCA
rnacentral:lncRNA from 1 species